rnacentral:lncRNA from 1 species
CACGGACGGCCCAGAUUUAAUAAAAAACGGACGGCCCAGAUUAAAACAAAAUGGACGGCUGAGAUCAAAGGGCAAGGGGUUAUAAAUAGAACCCCCACACCAGACCACAAACCCUAGCCGCCUGCCACUCGCCGGAGAAGACGAACCAGAAGCCGGCCGCCGCCACCCGCCGCCGCACUGGAGGAACUUCCGACCGCCGAUCGAGGUAAAUUUCGUACCCCCGACUCGUUUUUCCACGCUGAUUCCUCCUGUGGCCAAAUCGGAGCCAAAGUCCCGGCCAAACGGCCGGAAUACACGACCGAAGCCCAGCGGCGCCGCCGCGCCCCUUCUCGGUUUUUGCCUCCGAUGAGGCCCUUCUCGGCCUCCGUUUGAUGCAAUUUUUAUAUCACCGUGAUCACCAUUCUUUUCUCUACAGGUUGACCGGAGCCGAAUCAC